GCCCUCUUUUAGAGGGAGUGGCAGACGGGUGAGUAACGCGUGGGAAUCUACCUAGUGGUACGGAACAACACAGAGAAAUUUGUGCUAAUACCGUAUACGCCCCGAGGGGGAAAGAUUUAUCGCCAUUAGAUGGGCCCGCGUUUGAUUAGCUAGUUGGUGAGGUAAUGGCUCACCAAGGCGACGAUCAAUAGCUGGUCUGAGAGGAUGAUCAGCCACACUGGGACUGAGACACGGCCAGACUCCUACGGGAGGCAGCAGUGGGGAAUAUUGGACAAUGGGCGCAAGCCUGAUCCAGCCAUGCCGCGUGUGUGAUGAAGGCCUUAGGGUUGUAAAGCACUUUCAACGGUGAAGAUAAUGACGGUAACCGUAGAAGAAGCUCCGGCUAACUUCGUGCCAGCAGCCGCGGUAAUACGAAGGGGGCUAGCGUUGUUCGGAAUUACUGGGCGUAAAGCGCACGUAGGCGGAUUGAUUAGUUAGGGGUGAAAUCCCGAGGCUCA
rnacentral:rRNA from 1 species